rnacentral:rRNA from 1 species
AUGAUGCAAAAGCAAUAUCAAAUGUCUAUGAUGGGAGAGCUGAAGUUCUUUCUCGGUCUUCAAAUACGACAGCAACGCAAGGACAUCUUCAUAUCUCAAGAGAAGUAUCUCAAAGAUUGCCUGAAGAAGUUCGGUAUGCAAGAUUGCAAAGGCUUCACGACGCCAAUGCCAGCCAAGCAUCAUCUGGGUCGUGACGACAAUGGUAAAGAGUUCGAUCAAAAGGUAUACCGCUCCAUGAUUGGUUCUUUACUUUAUCUAUGUGCAUCUAGGCCAGAUAUUAUGCUUAGUGUUUGCAUGUGUGCUCGAUUUCAAGUAGCACCAAAGGAGUCGCAUCACUUAGCUGUGAAGCGAAUUCUUCGAUAUUUGGCUCACACCCCAACUCUAGGAGUAUGGUAUCCAAAGGGCUCAGAGUUUGAUCUGGUUGAAUUCUCGGAUGCUGAUUAUGCUGGUGACAAAGUUGAUCGCAAGUCUACAUCAGGCACAUGUCACUUUCUGGGACGAUCACUUGUAUGUUGGUCUUCAAAGAAGUAG